CGGAUCUUCAUUAGCUUGCUUUUGAACUUCAGCGGCGGACGGGUGAGUAACACGUGGGCAACCUGCCUGUAAGACUGGGAAUACUUCGGGAAACCGGAGCUAAUACCGGUAAAUCCUUUUGCUCUCAUGAGCGAAAGCUAAAAGACGGCUUCUCGCUGUCCCUUACAGAUGGGCCCGCGGCGCAUUAGCUAGUUGGUGAGGUAAUGGCUCACCAAGGCGACGAUGCGUAGCCGACCUGAGAGGGUGAUCGGCCACACUGGGACUGAGACACGGCCCAGACUCCUACGGGAGGCAGCAGUAGGGAAUCUUCCGCAAUGGACGAAAGUCUGACGGAGCAACGCCGCGUGAACGAUGAAGGCUUUCGGGUCGUAAAGUUCUGUUGUCAGGGAAGAACAAGUACCGGAGCAACUGCCGGUACCUUGACGGUACCUGACCAGAAAGCCACGGCUAACUACGUGCCAGCAGCCGCGGUAAUACGUAGGUGGCAAGCGUUGUCCGGAAUUAUUGGGCGUAAAGCGCGCGCAGGCGGUUCCUUAAGUCUGAUGUGAAAGCCCCCGGCUCAACCGGGGAGGGUCAUUGGAAACUGGGGAACUUGAGUGCAGAAGAGGAGAGCGGAAUUCCACGUGUAGCGGUGAAAUGCGUAGAGAUGUGGAGGAACACCAGUGGCGAAGGCGGCUCUCUGGUCUGUAACUGACGCUGAGGCGCGAAAGCGUGGGGAGCAAACAGGAUUAGAUACCCUGGUAGUCCACGCCGUAAACGAUGAGUGCUAAGUGUUAGAGGGUUUCCGCCCUUUAGUGCUGCAGCGAACGCAUUAAGCACUCCGCCUGGGGAGUACGGCCGCAAGGCUGAAACUCAAAGGAAUUGACGGGGGCCCGCACAAGCGGUG
rnacentral:rRNA from 1 species